rnacentral:rRNA from 1 species
AGAGUUUGAUCCUGGCUCAGAUUGAACGCUGGCGGCAGGCCUAACACAUGCAAGUCGAGCGGAAACGAGUUAUCUGAACCUUCGGGGAACGAUAACGGCGUCGAGCGGCGGACGGGUGAGUAAUGCCUAGGAAAUUGCCCUGAUGUGGGGGAUAACCAUUGGAAACGAUGGCUAAUACCGCAUAACACCUUCGGGUCAAAGAGGGGGACCUUCGGGCCUCUCGCGUCAGGAUAUGCCUAGGUGGGAUUAGCUAGUUGGUGAGGUAAUGGCUCACCAAGGCGACGAUCCCUAGCUGGUCUGAGAGGAUGAUCAGCCACACUGGAACUGAGACACGGUCCAGACUCCUACGGGAGGCAGCAGUGGGGAAUAUUGCACAAUGGGCGCAAGCCUGAUGCAGCCAUGCCGCGUGUGUGAAGAAGGCCUUCGGGUUGUAAAGCACUUUCAGUCGUGAGGAAGGUAGUGUAGUUAAUAGCUGCAUUAUUUGACGUUAGCGACAGAAGAAGCACCGGCUAACUCCGUGCCAGCAGCCGCGGUAAU